UUUAACCUAUUUAAUAAAUGGCUAUCUUAUUAGUCCAACUCGAUGCAACUUGUUUAAUUUGUUUAAAGCAAAACCUAUUAGCCCAACCUGUUCCGACCCAACCCAAUCUGUUUAAUACAUCAGAUAGUAAAAAAAAUCUAAAUAUAAAAAAAUUACAAUAAUUUUUUCUAGAUGGCAUUUACAUUCAAGAAGUAUUUACAUUCAAUCUUUUUUUAAGAGA
rnacentral:lncRNA from 1 species